CAGCAGAAGCCCCAGCAGUGCGCAGAGAGAGACUGUAAUCUUUGCCAUGUCUUCAGGCUGCAGAUGGAGUCCUCAGAUCCUGAUGCGUAAGUGUUCUUCAAGAUGGGAAGGCUGAUAGGUGAUGCUGGACAUGCUGUGAUGCUGGUGUAUAUGUACUCGCUGAGGGGAAAGUCCUCGGCGUAGGUUUCCAAGGGGAAAUGUGACAGCAGCAACCACAGCACUGACGUGUAAAUUCCAGCCCUUGUGUUCCCUCAAGGGUGAUUGACAGGUAUUCACAUACUGCUGAAGAGAUAACGAGCCAUAACAAAAUACACAUUUUGUGGUAUCGUAUAUAUCUAAAAUAUGGGACUUGGUGUGGUGUCUUAUACAUCUAAAGUAUGGGACUUGGUGUGGUGUCUUAUACAUCUAAAGUAUGUUGAUUUUUGUUUAAUUACAUUUUCAUAUGUAUCAGAUGAUAUUAUGUUUAUGGGGUGAUCUCCAAGAGGGGGUUUAAACAUAAUUGUUUUAGAAAAUAAAAGCACAGCAAUUAUCAUUUGAAGAGACAGAUUCCCCAACCGCCUGCCUAUCAGUAUGAAUGAGCUGGACAGUUAUACCCCUUGAAUUACCCAGAACAAUAAUAGAAGCCUGGUUUAUUAGUAAUGUCUUAUAAUCAAUAUGCUGUACUAAUUUUAAGCUAGCUAAACUAUCUUAUAGUAACUAUGAUAACUAUAUAUCACUGUCACUGUUGAUAUUUUUGUAUAUAUCAACAAAUAAUUUAGAAACAGUCACAUAAUUAUAGUCUGUAGAGUCCGCAAUUUUUUCCACAUGAAGUAAACAUAAUGUGAGAUGUCUGUUACCAUUCUGAUCAGAAAUAUUAAGAGGCUCCUGACACAAUCAAUACAUGAACAAAUGCUCCCAUAUAAUAAGUCAUAUUCCUCUGAAAGCAGUUUAGUUCAGAAACAAUGUAGUGCAUACAGAUGGUAAAGAUGGUAAGUACCAUAACUAGGCUUACACCUGCCUCAGACUGGGAAUGGGACCUGUUAUAAAUUCAUACUCUUUUUUUGUCAGAUGCUGCCAAUCAAUCAGGUCCGAAGUGAAUCCAUCCAUCCAUCCAUCAACCAACCAAUCAAUCAAUAAAUCAAUAAAUCAAUAAAUCAAUCAAUCAAUCAAGUCAGUCAAAAAAGUAUAUCAUAGUAUAGUACGGUAUAGUAUAGUAGAGUAUAUACAGUAAAGUACAUGUAAGAUAUACAUUAUACAGUGACUUGCCAUAGUAAGCAUAUCCCAUUACUCAUGAGGCAUAGUCUGUAGUGUCACACAGUCUGUGAUACAGUUACACUUAUAUGGUUUCAACAUGUACCUAUAUGCAAGAUAUUUUAGCAGAUUUUGGCAGCCGAACUCUACCCUCUCAAUUUGUCUCUUUCUUCCCCUUCUAUCCUUGACUCUCUUCGCUGUGGGAUGCUGCUGUAGUUUCUCCACCUGAUCUACUUUCAGAAACCCUCGACCUACCCACCCCCAGCGUCAUGCACUUAUUCUACCCCAUACUCUGUGCUAGCUUUACCUUCUAUGUAAACUUCUACCGUGUACCUGCUACCCCUUGUAAUAGUAACCUGCGAUAAUCUGCCAUGUUUCUGAUUGCAUACAAAUGUAAUUUAUAAUAAAAAAAUCAGUAUGCCUACAAAUUAAAGUCCCCCCCAAUAUGUGCAGAUCAGCAUUUCCUGAGCCUCUGCUACACCAUCUCACCACCACAAAUUGCACAACUUUUGCUUGAACCAGAACUGUGGGUUUGAAGGGGAAAUUAUGUUUUAAAAAAGAAAGGUCAAUGCUGCCUCAUGACCUGUUUAGUGGUAAAGACGACCCAGUUGUUCCUCUUGAUAUUCACUCCAAAAGCCAAAUCGUGUUCUUGUGACCUAGAAAAAACACAACAAAUGGUGCACAGUUUGUACAAGAUCAGUUUUCCCGUCAUCAGCACUGAAGACAGUACGUCACGCUUUUGUUUUUCAAAUAACAAAAAUGAUUAUAUGACCUGUAAUGAAUAAACAUCUCACCUCAUGUUGUGUGAUACACCCACAACCCAGAACAUCUUUUCUUUAAGCAUUACUCUUGAAACUUACUCACAAACUCUCACAAUGUCCUUUUUUUAUCUUAAAGGUAGUGUCAGUGAUUGAUUUUCAAGCUGAACAGCCAAUCAAAUGAUAUCCCUUCCUUCCAUGCUCCUGAAGCAAUGUGUUAAUUGGCUAAAAUUGUUUA
ensembl:lncRNA